UAGCUAACUGAAUCAAUGGUGUGUCAUCAUUGAUAAAGUAAGGGAAAAGAAAUGAUAUUACCUUACUAUUAGUGUCGUCCAAAUACUCGUGCCAGAAGACUCGGUAAGGCGAGAGACGCAAACGUUAGUCGUCCUAAUCAGGCGUAAAGGGUUUGUAGGCGGCUUUAAGUAUUUAUUCACUCUACUUAAAUCUUAUUUAGUAUAAGAUAAAAAGUUAAGGAGUAAGUCAAUUAAAGCUAGAAUCAAGUAGAGGUUAAUUUAAAUAAUGUUUGAACAUAGGGUUGAUAUCUAUAGAAUUCAAAUGGAAUACUAACGGCGAAGGCUUUUUUCCAAUAAUGAUUGACGCUGAGAAACUAAGGUGAGGAAAGAAAAAAGGAUUAGAGACCCUCGUAUCCCUCACUGUCAACGAUGAAUGGUAGUUACUAGAAAUAUUAUUCUAGAGACGAUGUUAACACGAAAACCAUUCCGCCUUGUGAGUACGGCUGCAAAGUUGAAAACAAAAAAAUUAGUCGGUUUCGGAGCAAACGGAGUGAAGCAUGUUAUUUAAUAAA
rnacentral:rRNA from 1 species